AAUCUACCCUAAUUUAACCCAAGAAGGCAAGCCGACAAACGCACAAAAUCCAAACAUGACAGAACAAACCCAACCCUAGUUUUUUCUUUACUUUCCUUGUAGGGUUUUGCUGUUUUGUUUUUUGGUAAAAAUCUUGUGGUUGGAAAACCACUACAAGUUUUAUGAGUGGUUGGGCGCGCGUCAAUACAAACUGGUAGAUUUUGUAAGAGGAAAGGACACUUGUCUGUGCGUCACCGACACCUGUUCAUCUUGCAUGAUAGAGAGAGAAAGAAAGCAAGCAAGAAAUUAAGGGAUGUAAUCCUAUUAAAAGCCAAGCAAGUUUUAGCUCCUAUCUACUUCCUUCCGGUGAAGUGAGUGUGUGUGGAAGUAGAGGAUAGAGAGAAGAAACAACAAGGGUUAUUUCUUGAAUUCCAUUUUUGUGGUAAUCUUUGUUUAAUUAUUGCUUGUUUUCUUGGAUUUUUGGUGUAGAUCAAGAGAUAGAAACCCUAGUAUGCUUUUUCGAAAUUUAUGGUUUGAGUAAAAAUAAAAUUGUUUUAAAACAAAAUCUUCUUUUAUAGAUUUACACUUACAAAUUACACUAAAAGAGAUGCAAUUUUCUUCGGAAUUAAUCCAUUAAAAACUAAUUUCAUUAGCACUCUUCUCUCCUUUUCUCUUCGGAAUUAAACGUAUACUUGAUGUAUUUUUUUUAAGAUAAUGACAAAUUAAUUAAUUCCAUAAACAAUAUGUCUUCAUCACUUCAAGUUACCUCAAGUGAAAUGAAUUUUAUAAUUUUAAAUCGUGUUCCAAGCAAAUCAAAUGAAUUCCAUCUACUUAAAAAGCUGAAAACAAUUGGAUCCUAUCAGGUGCAUGCAAAUCUCUUAGAUUUGUGUUUUAACACCAAAAAGAGAGGCGAUCAAUGGUAGGUAGAUCUUUUGGCAACUUAAUUUCCUUGAAAGGGCAUCACAUGUUUCUCAGAUCUGACUGAAUUCUUCUACGCAUUUUGUGCUAAAUUUCUUUCUUUCUUUCCAUUUUUUGGUAAGCUAUAUCUUUCGCUCAAGAACUGAUCCAGGAAAAAAAUCUGUUUACCUUGUUUUUGUAUUUUCUUCUUCUGGACAUUAGAAACUGACAGAAGAGAGUGAGCACACAGAGGCAUAUUUGUAUAAAUCUAUACCAUUGCUUUUGCGUGCUCACUUCUCAUUCUGUCGGCUUCCAGAACCGGAUUUGGGCCUGUUUUAUGCUCCAGAAAUUCCUUUCUUUCUCAUCUUUUACGUCUCUUUGCAAACCCAAACAAAAAAGGCUCCUGAAAGAUGAGGAUGGUGUAUAGUAGGAAAAAAAUGGAGAAGCAGAAGCAAGGUAUCCACUUUGUGUUUCGUUUUUUUUUUUUUUUUUGGCGUUUGAAUCUUGAUUAGUUUCUGAUGUAUUAAAUUAUAGUUUAGUAUAAUAGCGUGGCUUUUGAUGAAGUUUAAGCCAGAUUACUGUGCAAUUUAUAGCGGCAAAACACUGUGUAGCGUAGUAUAUAUAUAGCAUGGGACCAUUUCAUUUACGUUUUCUAAUUUUUUCGAGUAUCUCUUUGCAAAGCCAAACACCCUCCUCUUUUUUUUCCUUUUCUCUUUCUCUUGCGCAUGCGAUUAUGUUAUUAUCUGCUCGAGAUUUGAAUCUGAUUUGACCUUGUGUUCACUUGAAUCUUAUCUUAUACUGUUUGUGAAAAUGGGUUUUCCUUCAAAACCCUAGUCUAGCUUCAAAUAGGGUUGCUUCUUGUAUUAAUGGAGAAGGGAUUUUGUGGCGAGUCGUCUUUUGCUUGCUCUUAGUAAAAACUGAUCUGAUCAUUUUCCAUUGGCUCUUGGAAAUGGGUUUUGUUUAAUAUUUUUCUUUUGAUUUGUAAGUGCAUGUGAAGUUCUUAGAACAAAAGAAGAGACAUGAAAUCUUUAAAUUAUUGCAUGUAGUGAUUUCUUUCCAGAAAUAUGAAAUUUCAGCAUGCAUAGUUGUUCCUUGCUGUGCUCCUUUUUUUUUUUUUAGCUUUCUGCAGAUAAGCAUGGGAUGGUCAACUCAUUUAUCACGAAGUAGACAAAAUCUAGUCAAAAACAGGUUUUGGGAAGCACUUCAGGUAGCAAGCAGUGCAAACUCGAGCAAAAACCUCACAUGGUCUGUGGUUCCUUGCUUUCAAGUUUUUAAAUCAUCAACUUGUUUCUUCUAAUCUUGAUUCACAUCAAGAUAUGUCCCAAGAUUCUUGCUGGGAGUAGAUCGGAAAUGAAGGGUCAUCACCAAGAGUAUGAGAAAUGUGAUAGUUCUGUGCGUUGACUCGUGGGCCUUCAAUUGCUUUAGAGAUCUAACGAAUCAAUAGAGAGCCGGGGAACCUAUGACUUUGUGCGAACUGAAUUUGGCAUGUUCAUUCGGUAUCCGAAGGAAUUUUAAGGCCAACACCAUGCUGAAAACGUGGAAAGUUAGGAAUUGGUAAAUACAAGAGAACCUCUUUGAACUUUCUUUUGGAAAGUUCAAAAACUCUCCUCCGAGUCACUAAGUCCUUUUGUCUCUUUGAUUUUCCUGAGUUAACAAAUGGUGAGAGUGACAUGAAAAAAGGAAUCAUAAUGGAGCCCCAUGGCCCACUGGUGAUAGGGGUGCCUGUUUCAUGAUUGAAAAACUUCCCUUGCAUCUGGAGGUACUGUGGAGAUGAUGCUAAAGGUAAUAUAACCUAGAAAUGUACCUGGAAGCUCGAGUCUCUAAUUUUCAUUAAUAACAUUUGAUUCUCCUCUCUGGUUUACCAAAGAAAACUAAAUGUCUAACAACUUGUAAGCUAAAAGCAUGAUCAUAGAUGGAUUUGGUUUGCUUCUAAUUACCAUAAAGCAUGCCAGGCAACACUGUAACUUGUAACCAGUUGAUGGAUUUUUUUUUUGUUUGUUCUAUAGUUUGUGGGUAGGGGAUUGUAAUCAGCCACUAAACUCCUAAGGCUUCAACCUUAAGAUCUUUCUCUCAAAUCUUCAUCUAUCUCAUUCUUACCUGCAUUUUCAAGGUCUUAAUCUCUAGAGCGAUUUUUGUUCUCACAGAUAUCAACAACCAAUUUAUGAAAAUUCAAGAAUUGAAGACAAUCAAUGGAAUGCUGUUACAUAAAUGGCAAUGGCUGUUCAUGAUGUCUAGUCAAUUCUGAUUGUAUCAAAAACUAGCAGUCCGGAUUAAGCUAUAACCAGGCGUACGAGGUAAUGAUUGUUGGGAUCAAAGGUUUCCUGGUUUGCAAUGUGUUCGUAAUCUAUGGAAUUCAAAUUCUAUGUUUUGAUUAGUCCUAAAUUGAAUGAUUGCGGGAUUGUGAUGCCCCAGAUCAGCAUAUAAUUUGCAGGAGAUGUUAAUUCUUAGUUGCUGGCAAUUUGACUUGAAAUAUCUAGGUCUGCUGUUGGUUUUUUCAUUUUGAACAUUUUUCUCUGGGGUGUUGUCAAAAAUCUGAUAGCUGAAAUGAAAGCUCUCUUCGAGGGCAUAUGUUAAGAGAAAUAAAUAUUGUCUCCUCCCUGCUUAUAUCGAAAAGAUUAUCUUAUGCCUACUUUCUGGUCAAGUUUUCCUGUGAAUUACAGAGAAAUUUGUCUAGGGUUUCACAACCUCUACCAACAAGAUAACCACAGACCAAAACUAACAGAUACAAGAACUCAAGGUGUCACCAGUGCCCCGGCAAGCAUCGGCUUCAAAAGCCUUCAAAGGUCUUGCAUGGAACGGAAGGGGAGAUGCAUGCAAAAACUACACGCCAUUUUUACUAGAUCUCGGAGAAAAAAAUAACCAGAAAUGUGACAUACCUUAUGUUUUGUAGUGCCUGAGUUUGUUUUGGUGCACUUGUAUGGCGAUAUGUGGAGGAAAAGUGCUAUGGCGGGAAAAUACAGGGAUGAUUCCCAAAUCCCAACGGGUUUCUUCUU